rnacentral:lncRNA from 1 species
AAAAGCCAAAAAGAAACCCUCAAAAGUUUCCAAAGCCUUAAAGAAACUAAAGGAGUACUAAUAAACUAAAGUAAUGGUUCCUUACCUCCUCUAAAAAUAUUUGGCAUGCAUGUUGAUCUUGUAAUUUUGUUAUUUUCUAUUUAUCUCCCUGUAUUUUAGCAGCCGAACAGACACAACCACAGAAGAAAGAGGCAUUAUUGUAGUUCAUUCUUCCCACAAAAGCUUAUCAAGAUAGAAGCACCAACGCAAGUCUAGUGGCCAUCCUGGUCGGAUCGAAAGGCAGAAAGCCGAUAGGGAUGGAUGCCCCCUCAAAUAUGCCGCUGCGCUCAUUCGAAUGCCGUUUUCUUUUUUAAAGGAUGCCGUCCUCCGUCCUUUCAAGUGCAAAUCCUCUACAAUUUCAGUUGCAGAAAAUCCUUAAAUACUACAACCUGUCGCAAACUUUUAUUGAAUGCGCAAUUCUAGGCCUCAUUCCAUUCGCUUAAGAUCGUAUCGUUUCAACGGAAAACCACCUUCUGCAAUCUCCACAUUUUUAAGUGGAGAUCUUGAUAGACAAAUUAAAACGUUAAGGAACAUCUUGCAGCUUGGUUGUAGAGGAUCGAUUGCCAGUCCGUUCUAUCAUGCAGGAAUCUCCAUCCUCUGCAUAAAAGAUAUAGACGAAUAAGAUGCUACACCUUUUCCCGUUAUGUCGACACAAAGUCACCAAGGAAAUAUUCCAAAACCAACAUUAUAAGAAGGGACCCCCAUCCCCAGUUAGCUAGUCAGCCAGCUUCCGGGUAGUACUCACCAGUUCCACCAAUGGCCGCCCCCCAGCCUUCACAGCCACGAUCUCUCUGCACCGACUUCGAGGUCUUGAGCUACAUCAACAGCCUGAUGGAGGUCUUCAA